rnacentral:rRNA from 1 species
UGCAGUCGUACGCUUCUUUUUCCACCGGAGCUUGCUCCACCGGAAAAAGAGGAGUGGCGAACGGGUGAGUAACACGUGGGUAACCUGCCCAUCAGAAGGGGAUAACACUUGGAAACAGGUGCUAAUACCGUAUAACAAUCGAAACCGCAUGGUUUUGAUUUGAAAGGCGCUUUCGGGUGUCGCUGAUGGAUGGACCCGCGGUGCAUUAGCUAGUUGGUGAGGUAACGGCUCACCAAGGCCACGAUGCAUAGCCGACCUGAGAGGGUGAUCGGCCACAUUGGGACUGAGACACGGCCCAAACUCCUACGGGAGGCAGCAGUAGGGAAUCUUCGGCAAUGGACGAAAGUCUGACCGAGCAACGCCGCGUGAGUGAAGAAGGUUUUCGGAUCGUAAAACUCUGUUGUUAGAGAAGAAUAAGGAUGAGAGUAACUGUUCAUCCCUUGACGGUAUCUAACCAGAAAGCCACGGCUAACUACGUGCCAGCAGCCGCGGUAAUACGUAGGUGGCAAGCGUUGUCCGGAUUUAUUGGGCGUAAAGCGAGCGCAGGCGGUUUCUUAAGUCUGAUGUGAAAGCCCCCGGCUCAACCGGGGAGGGUCAUUGGAAACUGGGAGACUUGAGUGCAGAAGAGGAGAGUGGAAUUCCAUGUGUAGCGGUGAAAUGCGUAGAUAUAUGGAGGAACACCAGUGGCGAAGGCGGCUCUCUGGUCUGUAACUGACGCUGAGGCUCGAAAGCGUGGGGAGCAAACAGGAUUAGAUACCCUGGUAGUCCACGCCGUAAACGAUGAGUGCUAAGUGUUGGAGGGUUUCCGCCCUUCAGUGCUGCAGCUAACGCAUUAAGCACUCCGCCUGGGGAGUACGACCGCAAGGUUGAAACUCAAAGGAAUUGACGGGGGCCCGCACAAGCGGUGGAGCAUGUGGUUUAAUUCGAAGCAACGCGAAGAACCUUACCAGGUCUUGACAUCCUUUGACCACUCUAGAGAUAGAGCUUCCCCUUCGGGGGCAAAGUGACAGGUGGUGCAUGGUUGUCGUCAGCUCGUGUCG